rnacentral:rRNA from 1 species
UACGUAGGGACCGAGCGUUGUCCGGAAUCAUUGGGCGUAAAGAGCGUGUAGGCGGCCAAUUAAGUCCUGCGUGAAAUCUCGGGGCUCAACCCCGAGCGGUCGUGGGAAACUGGUUGGCUAGAGUGCGGGAGAGGAGAGUGGAAUUCCCGGUGUAGAGGUGAAAUUCGUAGAUAUCGGGAGGAACACCGGUGGCGAAGGCGGCGACCUGGGUAGAUACUGACGCUGAGGUGCGAAAGCGUGGGGAGCAAACAGG